UACGUAGGGUGCAAGCGUUGUCCGGAAUUAUUGGGCGUAAAGAGCUCGUAGGCGGUCUGUCGCGUCGGCUGUGAAAACCCGGGGCUCAACCCCGGGCCUGCAGUCGAUACGGGCAGGCUAGAGUUCGGUAGGGGAGACUGGAAUUCCUGGUGUAGCGGUGAAAUGCGCAGAUAUCAGGAGGAACACCGGUGGCGAAGGCGGGUCUCUGGGCCGAUACUGACGCUGAGGAGCGAAAGCGUGGGGAGCGAACAGG
rnacentral:rRNA from 1 species